UUUUCCUCACGAACACACAAACCAGACAGAAUGAAGAAAAGGAAUAAAUAAAACGCAGUGCCGCUCACUAAACCAACAUCAGACUGCAGUAUCACUGUCCACCUGUGGGGGGCGUGGACAGGCUUUCCAACAGGCAGGAUAAUUUAAAAGGCAACGGUGACUACUGUACAUUGUGCAUCUGCCCUACUUCUGAUACCAUGGCGGCAGAAAUUUUGCCAUGGCGGGCCGCCAUUUUCAAAUCAACAUAGAGGAAACACUG